CAUCCUCCAAGGCUAAAUACUCCUGACUGACCGAUAGUGAACCAGUACCGUGAGGGAAAGGCGAAAAGAACCCCGGCGAGGGGAGUGAAAAAGAACCUGAAACCGUGUACGUACAAGCAGUGGGAGCACAGGUUUACCUGUGUGACUGCGUACCUUUUGUAUAAUGGGUCAGCGACUUAUAUUCUGUAGCAAGGUUAACCGAAUAGGGGAGCCGGAGGGAAACCGAGUCUUAAUUGGGCGUUAAGUUGCAGGGUAUAGACCCGAAACCCGGUGAUCUAGCCAUGGGCAGGUUGAAGGUUGGGUAACACUAACUGGAGGACCGAACCGACUAAUGUUGAAAAAUUAGCGGAUGACCUGUGGCUGGGGGUGAAAGGCCAAUCAAACCGGGAGAUAGCUGGUUCUCCCCGAAAGCUAUUUAGGUAGCGCCUCGUGAAUUCAUCUCCGGGGGUAGAGCACUGUUUCGGCUAGGGGGCCAUCCCGGCUUACCAACCCGAUGCAAACUGCGAAUACCGGAGAAUGUUAUCACGGGAGACACACGGCGGGUGCUAACGUCCGUCGUGAAGAGGGAAACAACCCAGACCGCCAGCUAAGGUCCCAAAGUCAUGGUUAAGUGGGAAACGAUGUGGGAAGGCCCAGACAGCCAGGAUGUUGGCUUAGAAGCAGCCAUCAUUUAAAGAAAGCGUAAUAGCUCACUGGUCGAGUCGGCCUGCGCGGAAGAUGUAACGGGGCUAAACCAUGCACCGAAGCUGCGGCAGCGAACGUAUCACUUAAAGCGAUUCAGCGGGUUACGAUUGACGGAGCGAAGCGACGUCAAAGCGUAUACAAAGUCGAGUCGGUUUAAGGAUACGUUCGUUGGGUAGGGGAGCGUUCUGUAAGCCUGUGAAGGUGGCCUGUGAGGGUUGCUGGAGGUAUCAGAAGUGCGAAUGCUGACAUAAGUAACGAUAAAGCGGGUGAAAAGCCCGCUCGCCGGAAGACCAAGGGUUCCUGUCCAACGUUAAUCGGGGCAGGGUGAGUCGACCCCUAAGGCGAGGCCGAAAGGCGUAGUCGAUGGGAAACGGGUUAAUAUUCCCGUACUUGGUGUUACUGCGAAGGGGGGACGGAGAAGGCUAUGUUGGCCGGGCGACGGUUGUCCCGGUUUAAGCGUGUAGGCUGGUUUUCCAGGCAAAUCCGGAAAAUCAAGGCUGAGGCGUGACGACGAGGCACUACGGUGCUGAAGCAACAAAUGCCCUGCUUCCAGGAAAAGCCUCUAAGCAUCAGGUAACAUCAAAUCGUACCCCAAACCGACACAGGUGGUCAGGUAGAGAAUACCAAGGCGCUUGA
rnacentral:rRNA from 1 species